rnacentral:rRNA from 1 species
CCUACGGGAGGCAGCAGUGGGGAAUAUUGGACAAUGGGCGAAAGCCUGAUCCAGCCAUGCCGCGUGUGUGAAGAAGGCCCUCGGGUUGUAAAGCACUUUCAGUGGGGAAGAAAGCCUUGGGAUUAAUACUCCCGAGGAAGGACAUCACCCACAGAAGAAGCACCGGCUAACUACGUGCCAGCAGCCGCGGUAAU